rnacentral:rRNA from 1 species
GUGGGGAAUAUUGGACAAUGGGCGAAAGCCUGAUCCAGCAAUGCCGCGUGAGUGAUGAAGGCCUUAGGGUCGUAAAGCUCUGUUGAAUGGGAAGAAAAAAAUGACGGUACCAUUCGAGGAAGGACCGGCUAACUUCGUGCCAGCAGCCGCGGUAAUACGAGGGGUCCUAGCGUUGUUCGGAAUCAUUGGGCGUAAAGGGUGUGUAGGUGGCCAUGUAAGUCAGGUGUGAAAGCCCCGGGCUCAACCCGGGAAGUGCACUUGAUACUGCGUGGCUUGAGUACCGAAGAGGGUAGUGGAAUUCCAGGUGUAGUGGUGAAAUACGUAGAUAUCUGGAGGAACACCGGUGGCGAAGGCGGCUACCUGGUCGAGUACUGACACUGAGACACGAAAGCAUGGGGAUCAAACAGGAUUAGAAACCCGAGUAGUCC